UAAGACCCCUUGAAGAACACAAGGUUGAUAGGUCAGAGGUGUAAGUGCGGUAACGUAUGUAGCUGACUGAUACUAAUAGGUCGAGGGCUUGACCAA
rnacentral:rRNA from 2 species